rnacentral:rRNA from 1 species
AGUGAACGCUGGCGGUAGGCCUAACACAUGCAAGUCGAACGGCAGCACAGUAAGAGCUUGCUCUUACGGGUGGCGAGUGGCGUACGGGUGAGGAAUACAUCGGAAUCUACUUUUUCGUGGGGGAUAACGUAGGGAAACUUACGCUAAUACCGCAUACGACCUACGGGUGAAAGCAGGGGAUCUUCGGACCUUUCGCGAUUGAAUGAGCCGAUGUCGGAUUAGCUAGUUGGCGGGGUAAAGGCCCACCAAGGCGACGAUCCGUAGCUGGUCUGAGAGGAUGAUCAGCGACACGGGAAGGGAGACACGGUACAGACUCAUACGGGAGGCAGCAGUGGGGAAUAUUGGACAAUGGGCGCAAGCAUGAUCCAGCCAUACCGCGUGGGUGAAGAAGGAGUUAGGGUUGUAAAGCCCUUUUGUUGGGAAAGAAAAGCAGCAGGUUAAUACCCCGCUGUUCUGACGGUAACCAAAGAAUAAGCACCGGCUAACUUCGUG